UUCAAUGAUGAGCCGCUCUGUCCUGAAGUCCCUGAGAGAGGUGAGCCAGUUUCCAGGCCGUCUACCCCAGCAGGUCAUGGUGGGAGCCAGGGGGCUACGUUGGACACAGAGUAUGGAUGCCGCUCAACGUCUCUGACCUCCUGCACAAACAUCCUCUCCCAAUGAGAGCUGGACUGCCUCAGAUUGCCUAACCUGAAGCAUACAUGCUACAUGGGCCCUGCUCUGCAAACUCUCCUCACACUGAGAGUCUUUACUGAGGAGCUCUGCAGCCAGCUGCAGCUGUGGAGGUUUCACCCAGAGUGCCUGCACAUCAGUCAGUUUGUGGACAUCAAAUUGAGCCGCUUCAACAACGACAGCUGGCACAAAAGCUCUGUCCUGACUGCCUUUAGAGACA